GACGAACGCUGGCGGCGUGCUUAACACAUGCAAGUCGAACGGAAAGGCCCUGCUUUUGUGGGGUGCUCGAGUGGCGAACGGGUGAGUAACACGUGAGUAACCUGCCCUUGACUUUGGGAUAACUUCAGGAAACUGGGGCUAAUACCGGAUAUGAUCUCCUGCUGCAUGGUGGGGGUUGGAAAGUUUCGGCGGUUGGGGAUGGACUCGCGGCUUAUCAGCUUGUUGGUGGGGUAGUGGCUUACCAAGGCUUUGACGGGUAGCCGGCCUGAGAGGGUGACCGGCCACAUUGGGACUGAGAGACGGCCCAGAAGGCUACGGGAGGCAGCAGUGGGGAAUAUUGCACAAUGGGCGGAAGCCUGAUGCAGCAACGCCGCGUGCGGGAUGACGGCCUUCGGGUUGUAAACCGAUUUCGCAUGUGACGAAGCGUGAGUGACGGUAAUGGGUAAAGAAGCAACGGCUAACUACGUG
rnacentral:rRNA from 1 species